rnacentral:rRNA from 1 species
CAUCAAAGCAGAUAAUAGUGGAAGAAGGGUGCAGUAAAAGUGGGACAAUCUGCGAACAAGUGGGGGAUAGCUCGCCGAAAGGCGAAUUAAUACCGCAUGUGGUGAGGGACGACAUCUUCCUGAAUCCAAAGCCGGGGCAACCUGGCGCUUUUUGAGGAGCCCGCGGCUAUCAGCUAGUUGGCGGGGUAACGGCCACCAAGGCUAUGACCGGGUAGCUGGUCUGAGAGGACGACCAGUCACACUGAACUGAGACACGGUCCAGACACCUACGGGUGGCCAAGCAAGGUCGAAGGAAAUUUCCUCAAUGGGGGAAACCCUGAAGGAGCGACGCCGCGUGGAGGAUCGAAGGCUUCCGGGUCUCGUCAAACUUCCUGUCCAUUUGAGAACCAAGUGCCAAACAAGUAACUACUGUUGGGCUUUGAUCAGGUAUCCAGG